rnacentral:lncRNA from 1 species
UGCCUCUUUUGAUUCCUAAGUAAUGUUUGACAAAUGCCAGACCAGUAACUCCUAUGAAAUCCACGUGUAGUUCUUUCAUUGAGAUUUAUUAUCAUCUCUAUAUCUUCUUCUUUCCCUACCUGAUCCAUAGCUAUGUGUGCCCCUCUUCAUCCGUCAUGCUGCUUGGUCCAUCUUCUUUACCACUCUUGCUAAUAAAGCUAGACGUCGGCCUGAUCUAACCCGAGACCUUCGGGCCAGGCUAGCUUCGGAUCGGGCUAGGCUCAAGGUAGUUUCUAUCAAGCUUGGACCUGAAAAUAGGGCCAAAGAAAUUCGGAUCGAACUCAAUCAAUACUUGGUCUAGCCUGAGCCCAGCUAAAAGCCGAAGGAUGCAACUAGAUCUGAAGCUCAAGCUCGGAACCAAACCUAACCCUCCUUCAAUUCCCCAUUCCCCUUUGCUCAAGUACUCUCUCUCUC